rnacentral:rRNA from 1 species
GGGUUGUGAGGUUAAGCGACUAAGCGUACACGGUGGAUGCCCUGGCAGUCAGAGGCGAUGAAGGACGUGCUAAUCUGCGAUAAGCGCCGGUAAGGUGAUAUGAACCGUUAUAACCGGCGAUUUCCGAAUGGGGAAACCCAGUGUGAUUCGUCACACUAUCAUUAACUGAAUCCAUAGGUUAAUGAGGCGAACCGGGGGAACUGAAACAUCUAAGUACCCCGAGGAAAAGAAAUCAACCGAGAUUCCCCCAGUAGCGGCGAGCGAACGGGGAGGAGCCCAGAGCCUGAAUCAGCAUGUGUGUUAGUGGAAGCGUCUGGAAAGGCGCGCGAUACAGGGUGACAGCCCCGUACACAAAAGCGCAUGUGCUGUGAGCUCGAUGAGUAGGGCGGGACACGUGGUAUCCUGUCUGAAUAUGGGGGGACCAUCCUCCAAGGCUAAAUACUCCUGACUGACCGAUAGUGAACCAGUACCGUGAGGGAAAGGCGAAAAGAACCCCGGCGAGGGGAGUGAAAAAGAACCUGAAACCGUGUACGUACAAGCAGUGGGAGCACAGGUUUACCUGUGUGACUGCGUACCUUUUGUAUAAUGGGUCAGCGACUUAUAUUCUGUAGCAAGGUUAACCGUAUAGGGGAGCCGGAGGGAAACCGAGUCUUAAUUGGGCGUUAAGUUGCAGGGUAUAGACCCGAAACCCGGUGAUCUAGCCAUGGGCAGGUUGAAGGUUGGGUAACACUAACUGGAGGACCGAACCGACUAAUGUUGAAAAAUUAGCGGAUGACCUGUGGCUGGGGGUGAAAGGCCAAUCAAACCGGGAGAUAGCUGGUUCUCCCCGAAAGCUAUUUAGGUAGCGCCUCGUGAAUUCAUCUCCGGGGGUAGAGCACUGUUUCGGCUAGGGGGCCAUCCCGGCUUACCAACCCGAUGCAAACUGCGAAUACCGGAGAAUGUUAUCACGGGAGACACACGGCGGGUGCUAACGUCCGUCGUGAAGAGGGAAACAACCCAGACCGCCAGCUAAGGUCCCAAAGUCAUGGUUAAGUGGGAAACGAUGUGGGAAGGCCCAGACAGCCAGGAUGUUGGCUUAGAAGCAGCCAUCAUUUAAAGAAAGCGUAAUAGCUCACUGGUCGAGUCGGCCUGCGCGGAAGAUGUAACGGGGCUAAACCAUGCACCGAAGCUGCGGCAGCGAACGUAUCACUUAAAGCGAUUCAGCGGGUUACGAUUGACGGAGCGAAGCGACGUCAAAGCGUAUACAAAGUCGAGUCGGUUUAAGGAUACGUUCGUUGGGUAGGGGAGCGUUCUGUAAGCCUGCGAAGGUGGCCUGUGAGGGUUGCUGGAGGUAUCAGAAGUGCGAAUGCUGACAUAAGUAACGAUAAAGCGGGUGAAAAGCCCGCUCGCCGGAAGACCAAGGGUUCCUGUCCAACGUUAAUCGGGGCAGGGUGAGUCGACCCCUAAGGCGAGGCCGAAAGGCGUAGUCGAUGGGAAACGGGUUAAUAUUCCCGUACUUGGUGUUACUGCGAAGGGGGGACGGAGAAGGCUAUGUUGGCCGGGCGACGGUUGUCCCGGUUUAAGCGUGUAGGUGUGUGUUCCAGGUAAAUCCGGUUCACUUUAACACUGAGGCGUGACGACGAGGCACUACGGUGCUGAAGCAACAAAUGCCCUGCUUCCAGGAAAAGCCUCUAAGCAUCAGGUAACAUCAAAUCGUACCCCAAACCGACACAGGUGGUCAGGUAGAGAAUACCAAGGCGCUUGAGAGAACUCGGGUGAAGGAACUAGGCAAAAUGGUGCCGUAACUUCGGGAGAAGGCACGCUGACACGUAGGUGAAGUGAUUUACUCAUGGAGCUGAAGUCAGUCGAAGAUACCAGCUGGCUGCAACUGUUUAUUAAAAACACAGCACUGUGCAAACACGAAAGUGGACGUAUACGGUGUGACGCCUGCCCGGUGCCGGAAGGUUAAUUGAUGGGGUCAGCGCAAGCGAAGCUCCUGAUCGAAGCCCCGGUAAACGGCGGCCGUAACUAUAACGGUCCUAAGGUAGCGAAAUUCCUUGUCGGGUAAGUUCCGACCUGCACGAAUGGCGUAAUGAUGGCCAGGCUGUCUCCACCCGAGACUCAGUGAAAUUGAACUCGCUGUGAAGAUGCAGUGUACCCGCGGCAAGACGGAAAGACCCCGUGAACCUUUACUAUAGCUUGACACUGAACAUUGAGCCUUGAUGUGUAGGAUAGGUGGGAGGCUUUGAAGUGUGGACGCCAGUCUGCAUGGAGCCGACCUUGAAAUACCACCCUUUAAUGUUUGAUGUUCUAACGUAGACCCGUGAUCCGGGUUGCGGACAGUGUCUGGUGGGUAGUUUGACUGGGGCGGUCUCCUCCUAAAGAGUAACGGAGGAGCACGAAGGUUGGCUAAUCCUGGUCGGACAUCAGGAGGUUAGUGCAAUGGCAUAAGCCAGCUUGACUGCGAGCGUGACGGCGCGAGCAGGUGCGAAAGCAGGUCAUAGUGAUCCGGUGGUUCUGAAUGGAAGGGCCAUCGCUCAACGGAUAAAAGGUACUCCGGGGAUAACAGGCUGAUACCGCCCAAGAGUUCAUAUCGACGGCGGUGUUUGGCACCUCGAUGUCGGCUCAUCACAUCCUGGGGCUGAAGUAGGUCCCAAGGGUAUGGCUGUUCGCCAUUUAAAGUGGUACGCGAGCUGGGUUUAGAACGUCGUGAGACAGUUCGGUCCCUAUCUGCCGUGGGCGCUGGAGAACUGAGGGGGGCUGCUCCUAGUACGAGAGGACCGGAGUGGACGCAUCACUGGUGUUCGGGUUGUCAUGCCAAUGGCACUGCCCGGUAGCUAAAUGCGGAAGAGAUAAGUGCUGAAAGCAUCUAAGCACGAAACUUGCCCCGAGAUGAGUUCUCCCUGAGACUUAAAGUCUCCUGAAGGAACGUUGAAGACGACGACGUUGAUAGGCCGGGUGUGUAAGCGCAGCGAUGCGUUGAGCUAACCGGUACUAAUGAACCGUGAGGCUUAACCUUACAACGCCGAAG